GAUGAACGCUGGCGGCGUGCCUAAUACAUGCAAGUCGAGCGAACGGACGAGAAGCUUGCUUCUCUGAUGUUAGCGGCGGACGGGUGAGUAACACGUGGAUAACCUACCUAUAAGACUGGGAUAACUUCGGGAAACCGGAGCUAAUACCGGAUAUAUUUUGAACCGCAUGGUUCAAAAGUGAAAGACGGUCUUGCUGUCACUUAUAGAUGGAUCCGCGCUGCAUUAGCUAGUUGGUAAGGUAACGGCUUACCAAGGCAACGAUGCAUAGCCGACCUGAGAGGGUGAUCGGCCACACUGGAACUGAGACACGGUCCAGACUCCUACGGGAGGCAGCAGUAGGGAAUCUUCCGCAAUGGGCGGAAGCCUGACGGAGCAACGCCGCGUGAGUGAUGAAGGUCUUCGGAUCGUAAAACUCUGUUAUUAGGGAAGAACAUAUGUGUAAGUAACUGUGCACAUCUUGACGGUACCUAAUCAGAAAGCCACGGCUAACUACGUG
rnacentral:rRNA from 1 species